rnacentral:rRNA from 1 species
AGAGUUUGAUCAUGGCUCAGGAUGAACGCUGGCGGCGUGCUUAACACAUGCAAGUCGAACGAACCUUCGGGUUAGUGGCGGACGGGUGAGUAACGCGUGAGAAUCUGCCCUCAGGAGGGGGAUAACGGCUGGAAACGGCCGCUAAUACCCCAUAUGCCGCGAGGUGAAACGAAUUUCGCCUGAGGAUGAGCUCGCGUCUGAUUAGCUAGUUGGUGGGGUAAAGGCCUACCAAGGCUUCGAUCAGUAGCUGGUCUGAGAGGAUGAUCAGCCACACUGGGACUGAGACACGGCCCAGACUCCUACGGGAGGCAGCAGUGGGGAAUUUUCCGCAAUGGGCGAAAGCCUGACGGAGCAACGCCGCGUGAGGGAUGAAGGCCUCUGGGCUGUAAACCUCUUUUAUCAAGGAAGAAGAUCUGACGGUACUUGAUGAAUAAGCCACGGCUAAUUCCGUGCCAGCAGCCGCGGUAAUACGGGAGUGGCAAGCGUUAUCCGGAAUUAUUGGGCGUAAAGCGUCCGCAGGCGGUCUUUUAAGUCUGCUGUUAAAGCGUGGAGCUUAACUCCAUUUCGGCAGUGGAAACUGGAAGACUAGAGUGUGGUAGGGGCAGAGGGAAUUCCCGGUGUAGCGGUGAAAUGCGUAGAUAUCGGGAAGAACACCAGUGGCGAAGGCGCUCUGCUGGGCCAUAACUGACGCUCAUGGACGAAAGCCAGGGGAGCGAAAGGGAUUAGAUACCCCUGUAGUCCUGGCCGUAAACGAUGAACACUAGGUGUCGGGGGAAUCGACCCCCUCGGUGUCGUAGCCAACGCGUUAAGUGUUCCGCCUGGGGAGUACGCACGCAAGUGUGAAACUCAAAGGAAUUGACGGGGGCCCGCACAAGCGGUGGAGUAUGUGGUUUAAUUCGAUGCAACGCGAAGAACCUUACCAGGGUUUGACAUCCUGCGAAUCCCUUGGAAACGAGGGAGUGCCUUCGGGAACGCAGUGACAGGUGGUGCAUGGCUGUCGUCAGCUCGUGUCGUGAGAUGUUGGGUUAAGUCCCGCAACGAGCGCAACCCACGUCGUUAGUUGCCAGCAUUCAGGUGGGCACUCUAGCGAGACCGCCGGUGAUAAACCGGAGGAAGGUGUGGAUGACGUCAAGUCAUCAUGCCCCUUACAUCCUGGGCUACACACGUACUACAAUGCUACGGACAAAGGGCAGCAAACUCGCGAGAGCUAGCAAAUCCCAUAAACCGUGGCUCAGUUCAGAUCGUAGGCUGCAACUCGCCUACGUGAAGGAGGAAUCGCUAGUAAUCGCAGGUCAGCAUACUGCGGUGAAUACGUUCCCGGGCCUUGUACACACCGCCCGUCACACCAUGGAAGUUGGCCACGCCCGAAGCCGUUACUCCAACCCUUGUGGAGGAGGAUGUCGAAGGUGGGGCUGAUGACUGGGGUGAAGUCGUAACAAGGUAACC